AGAGUUUGAUCAUGGCUCAGGAUGAACGCUAGCUACAGGCUUAACACAUGCAAGUCGAGGGGAAACGACAUCGAAAGCUUGCUUUUGAUGGGCGUCGACCGGCGCACGGGUGAGUAACGCGUAUCCAACCUGCCCAUCACUUGGGGGAUAACCUUGCGAAAGUAAGACUAAUACCCAAUGACGUCUCUAGAAGACAUCUGAAAGAGAUUAAAGAUUUAUCGGUGAUGGAUGGGGAUGCGUCUGAUUAGCUUGUUGGCGGGGUAACGGCCACCAAGGCGACGAUCAGUAGGGGUUCUGAGAGGAAGGUCCCCACCAUUGGAACUGAGACACGGUCCAAACUCCUACGGAGGCGA
rnacentral:rRNA from 1 species